GGUCUUGGCUGCUACAAUUCUCCUGUCCCUCACCCAAGUGAUAGCAAGGAGUGGAAGGUCACUAAUGAACAGUCCUGCAGACAUGUGGCUUUAAAACUUUGGGACAGUUCCAGACAAGCUGUUACUGCAGCGCCAGGUAUCAGCACCAUUCCCACCAAAUGGAGAUGUUGGGUUCUCUGCUGCCAUCGUGUUUGGGGACCAGAGAAGAACAUGAGUCUCCUGCAGAGCUCACACUUGAUGAACUGUGUCCUUAGCAAAAACACAGACGGGUGUUUGUCUUCUCUUGAGUCGCUUUUCAUGGGCAGGGAAAGCAGUUUGUUGCCUGUGGCUGUUGUAACGGGAAGAGUAAUGAACUCAGCCCUGAACAAUCAGUUUGAGUUAACUUUUUCCAACCUAAACAGUGACGUGAAAAACACCCCUGCACCUUUGUGGCAAAUUAUAAAGCCAUUUUGAGGCUCAAUGUCAGUUACACACUCCAGAACCAUGUUUUUCACAACUUUCCUCUGUUCUAUGGGGUUUCAUUUGGCUGUACAGCUUAGGGCUACGUCAGAAGUAGCUGACCUGUGAUAUGGCAAAAGUUCUAGAAGAUGCUCUUCUUUGAUGCU
rnacentral:lncRNA from 1 species